UCCAAUAACAAAACACCGACAAUAUGUGCCAGGGCACUUGAUGACAAAGCUUCUGUGAAAGUUUGAACAAAAUACGUUGAGAAAUGUAGGACGAGUUCAGCACAGAAAAAUUUGUUCACUAUAUAUUCUUAAUAUAAGGGAAAAAAAACAAAGGGCCAUAAUUAGGUCAAAUAUUAUCCAAUCGCAAAACCCUGACAAUAUGCGCCAGGGCACUUGGUGACAAAGGUUC